rnacentral:tRNA from 1 species
GCCCGUGUGGUGGAAUUGGUAGACACGCUAGCCUUAGGAGCUAGUGCCGAUAAAGCAUGCUGGUUCGAGUCCAGUCGCGGGCACCA